rnacentral:sRNA from 1 species
UUAAGCAUAUCAAUAAGCGGAGGAAAAGAAAAUAACUAUGAUUCCCUUAGUAACGGCGAGUGAACAGGGAAAAGCCCAAAUUUGUAAUCUGGCAUUGUUUACCAAUGUCCGAGUUGUAAUUUGUAGAACUGUUAUCCGUGCUGGACCAUGUACAAGUCUGUUGAAAAACAGCAUCAUUGAAGGUGAAAAUCCUGUAAAUGAUAUGGACUACCAGUGCAUUUGUGAUACGGUUUCUAAGAGUCGAGUUGUUUGGGAAUGCAGCUCAAAGUGGGUGGUAAAUUCCAUCUAAGGCUAAAUAUAAGUGAGAGACCGAUAGCAUACAAGUACCGUGAGGGAAAGAUGAAAAGAACUUUGAAAAUAGAGUUAACAGUACGUGAAAUUGCUGAAAGGGAAACGUUUGAAGUUAGUAUUGUAUUCGUUGGAUCAGCUUCGCAAGAGGUCUAUUCCGAUGAUAAGCAAGUCAACAUCAGUCUAUGAGUGUUGGAAAAAGGGCUCGAGAAUGUAGCAAUUUAAUUGUGUUAUAGCUUGGGACCUCGAAUACAACGCUCUUGAUUGAGGAACGCGUAGUAAGCUUUGAGCGGGUUCGAAAGAGCCUCCUUACUAUGGAUGUUGGUGAAAUAACUUUAAGCGACCCGUCUUGAAACACGGACCAAGGAGUCUAACAUGCUUGCGAGUAUUAGGGCGUUGAAACCCGAAUGCGUAAUGAAAGUGAUUUCAGAUGUGAUCCGCAAGGUGCAACAUCGGCCGGUCCUGAUUAUUUAUAUGACGGUACUGAGCAAGAGCAAGUAUGUUAGGACCCGAAAGAUG